rnacentral:rRNA from 1 species
GACGAACCGUGCGAACGUUGUUCGGAAUCACUGGGCAUAAAGGGCGCGUAGGCGGCUUAUCAAGUCAGGGGUGAAAUCCGGCAGCUUAACUGUCGAAGUGCCUUUGAUACUGACGAGCUCGAGGGAGAUAGGGGUGUGUGGAACUUCCGGUGGAGCGGUGAAAUGCGUUGAUAUCGGAAGGAACGCCGGUGGCGAAAGCGACACACUGGAUCUCUUCUGACGCUGAGACGCGAAAGCGUGGGGAGCAAACAGG